GACGAACGCUGGCGGCGUGCUUAACACAUGCAAGUCGAACGGAAAGGCCCUGCUUUUGUGGGGUGCUCGAGUGGCGAACGGGUGAGUAACACUUGAGUAACCUGCCCUUGACUUUGGGAUAACUUCAGGAAACUGGGGCUAAUACCGGAUAGGAGCUCCUGCUGCAUGGUGGGGGUUGGAAAGUUUCGGCGGUUGGGGAUGUACUCGCGGCUUAUCAGCUUGUUGGUGGGGUAGUGGCUUACCAAGGCUUUGACGGGUAGCCGGCCUGAGAGGGUGACCGGCCACAUUGGGACUGAGAUACGGCACAGCCUCCUACGGGAGGCAGCAGUGGGGAAUAUUGCACAAUGGGCGGAAGCCUGAUGCAGCAACGCCGCGUGGGGGAUGACGGCCUUCGGGUUGUAAACCGCUUUCGCCUGUGACGAAGCGUGAGUGACGGUAAUGGGUAAAGAAGCACCGGCUAACUACGUG
rnacentral:rRNA from 1 species